AGGGUGUAAACGCUGCAGACUUGGUGUUGGAAAUCCUUCGAGGGUAUUCAGUGCCGGAGAGAAGUUGUUAAGUCUGCUACUUGGGGAGUACGUCCGCAAGGAUGAAACUUAAAGGAAUUGGCGGGGGAGCACCGCAACGGGAGGAGCGUGCGGUUUAAUUGGAUUCAACACCGGAAAAACUCACCAGGGGAGACUGUUACAUGAAACCCAGACUAAUGAUCUUGUUGGAUUUUCUAGAGAGGUGGUGGCAUGG
rnacentral:rRNA from 1 species